UCCCGGUUGGCCCGGGCAGUCUCGCAUGAAAAAUUUAACAUACGACAAGGGUUGCGCUCGUUGCGGGACUUAACCCAACAUCUCACGACACGAGCUGACGACGGCCAUGCAGCACCUGUCACCAGGUUCCCGAAGGCACUCCACUGUUUCCAGCGGAUUCCUGGGAUGUCAAACCUCGGUAAGGUUCUUCGCGUAGCGUCGAAUUAAACCACAUCAUCCUCUACUUGUGCGGGUCCCCGUCAAUUCCUUUGAGUUUUAAUCUUGCGAUCGUACUCCCCAGGCGGCAUACUUAACGCGUUAGCUUCUCUGCACAGGGGGUCGAUACCCCAUACAAAUAGUAUGCAUCGUUUACGGCGUGGACUAC
rnacentral:misc_RNA from 1 species